CCCUAGCCCUGAUAGGAGCGGCAUCCUUUUGUUUUUUUCUUUAAAAAACAAAAGAUACAGCGGAUAGCAGGAUUAGCU
rnacentral:sRNA from 1 species